AGGCUGCAACUCGCCUACAUGAAGUUGGAAUUGCUAGUAAUCAUAGGUCAGCAUACUAUGGUGAAUACGUUCCCGGGCCUUGUACACACCGCCCGUCACACCAUGAGAGUUGGGAAUACCCGAAGCCCAUGUCAAAGUGGUCGAAGGUAGGCUUGAUGAUUGGGGUGAAGUCGUAACAAGGUACC
rnacentral:rRNA from 1 species